GCGUUGCUCCGGAGGAGACACGGGCUUCAACCGAAAAUGGCUUUGAAAUCGAAGAUGCCGAGGAGGAGCCGUACCUACGAUCUGAUUCCCGGCGAGGGAAAGUACUCAAGAUCGAUGAUUUACGGCAAGCGCGGCUUCUUGUCUGGGGCAUCAAGGCCAAAAAUGGUGGCAUUUUCUCCAUUCACUAUCGCAAGUCAGCUUCUAAGAAACCGACUGAGAGGCCCCCUAAGUUCUCUACCCAGUUGAAGACGUGAAGAAGUCACUUGUGGCUGAGAUGAUCUGAAUUUUGUUUGAAAGAGAGAAGUAUGCGUACAAUGUUGGAUUUAAGAUUGUUCCAGUCAUGGUGUAUGGGCGUUAUUCAUUGUUGCUUCAGAAUAUUUUGGUCUACCAGUUUCCGUUAUCUCGUGUAAGAACAGUGCAGGAGCUCCCCUCUGUGAAGAAGGAAUAUCGGACGAUUGUGGAUGCUGUUUUGAUGAAGUCAGUUGGAGGAGUCCCUAAUUUGAAGAGCUACUCGGCUGCAAGGUGUGGAAGCAAGAACACAAGGCUUUGAGCCAAUGAAGAAGUAAACUAAAGGUCCAUAACGGAUUGAGAGUUUGUGAAAAGCUUGGUGAGGAAUAGGACCCAGAAGGUGCAUAUGUCCUAUAAUUGGCAGGGCUCUGGGGCUCGGUGGAAGGCGAACUUUGUUCCUACAUUUGACAAAGAUGAUCAGGAUAAAGAAGAAGGAAGCUAGGAAGGUAAGGAUUUGUAUGGCAUAAUCUUGCAUAUCUGCCAUUGUUGAAAUGCUGGUUCAAUAAAGAAAGCUCUAUGGAGAUGCUUAAAUAAGAGUUAACAGUGGUUCAUAUUUUUCUUUCUUCUGAUCAUGCAUUUGGUAGGAUGAUGAAGAGAGCUCAGAUCAGAAAAUACUCCACAACACUGUGAUUAGUGCAUAUUUAAUUAUUUAUCUAAAGUCGAGAUCAAAUAUUUAAAGACAGCAUUAAGUUAGAGACAAAUUAGACUCAGGACCACUUUCCUAGGUGUGAUCCAUGAAGCUUGUUAAUAAUCCAGUUUAUAAUAUUUGGGUUUUCUUU